GAGCGCUGCGCGACGGGGAGCUGCUUUUCUUCCCUUCUUUCUUUCUGCCUUGGUGCUAGCUCCUGGAAUGCAUUCCCUGCCCUUGUGCUCCCUUAGGGAGACCAUGUCCUCACCCCUCAUCUCUCAACGGGAUAUGCUGCUUGCAGAGGGCAGCCAGCCAAGCUCUAAGGAGAAGGACUCUUCAUGAUCAGGAGGACACCAGCCAUCAUGUCAUGAUGACACUGAAGCAGCUUGUGAAGAGAAACCUGAGGACUCUUCCCCACAGCACGAGAUCACUGCCAAUUGGGAACCACCACCAUCAAGACGACGCUGGCACCUCUCGAGGCAAGUGUAAUAAUACAAGGAGAGGGAGACACCCUAUCAAUAACCUGAGAGCAUGGAGUCCCGGGAAAGCAACCAAAUUAGUCCCAGGCAUCACUAAGAGCAUCACUGAACUGUGUCACAG